GGAGAGGUGGCUGAGUGGACUAAAGCGGCAGAUUGCUAAUCCGUUGUACGAAUAAUUCGUACCGAGGGUUCGAAUCCCUCUCUCUCCG
rnacentral:tRNA from 1 species